UGUGAUAUUUCACUUAAUCCUAGCACCUAGGUGAUGUAACACUUCUCUUUUGUCUGGACACUUGCAUAUUUUUGGUAGUGUAACAUAUCACUUGGCCCAACACCUAGAAUAUAGGAGGUUUCUGCCAGGGCCCUGCCUACAGGGGGGCCUGUGACAUAUUUCUCCUGGCUGUGGAACCCAGUACCUAAGAAAUGUACCUCUUCUGCCUGCAGUUUGCCAAUAAGAAAUGUUAUGAUAUAUUGAUGGGUCCAGCAACCAUGUGAUAUAUCUCUCCUGCUUUGGCCUCAUCAACAGAGAGCAUUGUGACAUACCCGCGAGCCAAGCACACAGAUGAUGUUAUUCUGCUGCCUGUGCCCUGCUUUCAGGAGUGGAUUGCAAUGUAACACUGGCUGAGUACCCAGGUUAAUGACACUGUUGCCUGGUCCCUGUUCUCAGGGAAGACUGUAAUAGACCCCUGACCCAAUAUCCAGGGGACAUUGUGACAUACUUCUUGGCCAUGAACCCAGGUUAUGUGAGCCUUUCUGUGCCCUGCCCAUGUGGACAAUUGUGACAUAUUACCGAGUCCUACACCCAGGCGAUGCUACUCUCCUGUCUGGUCCUUGCCUACAGGGAACAUUGUGACAUAUCUCUUUGCCAUUCAUCCAGGUUCUGCCCACAGGGAAGAUUGUGGUGAAUUACUGAACGCGAUACCUAGAUGAAGGAGAGACUAUAACAUACCUCUUGGCCCAGCACCUAGUUGAUGUAACUCUGCUCUCCUGCCUGGGCCACACCUACAGAAGAAAGAGUGACUUCUCACUGGGCCAGCACACAGGUCAUGUUAUUUUACUGCCUUGAUCCUUGUCCACAAUAAUCAUUGUACAUAGUUUUGGGCUCUUCUACUAGAAGACGUGCGGGAUGGUUAAAUAUCACUGGACCUAGCACCUAGGGAAUGUGACUCUUGUCUUUUGCAUCAGCCCCACUCGUUUUGAGAACUGUAACAUAUCACUGGGCCAAACACCUAGAAGAUGGGAAGUGUCUGCCUAUGCCCUGCAAACAGGGCUUUAGCCCUACCACUCUCAAGAGCCUCGUGACAUAUCUCUGCAUUCAUCAUCUAGGAGAUGUGACUCCUCCCUGCUGCCUGCGCUCUGCCUACAGGGAAGACCAUAACAACAUUUGGCCCAGCAACACGGUGAUGUGUUUUUUCCCAGGGCCUUGCUCACAGGGAGCAUUGUGACAUAUCACUGGAACCAGCAUCCAGGGCUGUGACUCUGUGUCCUGCUGUUAGAACAGGAUUGUAACAUAUCACUGACCAAGCACCCAGGUGAUGUGACUCUUCUGCCUGGUGCCUGCCUUCAGGGAAAAUUGUGACAUAUGCCUGGCCUAGCACCAAAGUGAUGUGGCUCUCCUGCUACCUCUAUGCACAGGUGGGAUUGUGACAUAUACCUUCAUUCAGCUCAUAGAUGGGUUGGUGAUGCUCAGACAAAUAUUCAGCACACCUGUGAGUCUGCGACUCCAGUAAUCAUCCACAGUCUGCAGGAGAAAUUGAGGCUCUCACCAACAAAUCAAGUGCACAAUUGAGAUUGCGACUCUUGUACUCAGACCCAACAUACAGAAUGUGUUGACUCUCAAUUUUAAAACCAGAACAUGUGUGAGAUUAUUAAUCUGAUCUCUAAACCAUCCUGCAAGUGUGAUUGUGACACAAGUCUCUGUUCAGUACUUGAGUGAUUUGACUCCUUUGCCUGGGCCCAGUCCAAAGAUGUAAUUGUGACAUAUCACUGAAACCAGCAUAUAGGAGAUGUGUCUCCAUACUCCUGCCUUGGUGCUGCCCACAGUGGGCACUGUGACAUAUCACUGGGCCUUGUAUCCAAGUGAUGUAAGUCUCUUCUUUCUUGAUACUGACCACAGGAGACACUAUGACAUAUCCCUGGGCCUCAAGCUCAGCUUAUGUCAUUCUCCUAUUUGUUCUCUGUCCACAUGGGCCAUUGUGACAUACUGCUGAGUUUGGCAUCCAUGUGAUAUAACACUUCAGCCUCAGCUUUGCUCACUUGGGGCAUUGUGAUGUAUCUCUGCACCCAUCACUUAGAUGAUUCAACUCUUUUCUUCUGUCUCAUCUGUGCUUAAAACGGGCAAUUGUUACCUAUUGCUGGGUCCAGCAUGUAGCUGAUGUGUCUCUUCUCAUCUUCCUAAGGACUGCCUGCAGGGGAUAUGGUGACAUUUUACUUUGCCCAGCACCAAGAUGACUUGAAUCUGCUGCCUUUGUUCUACUUUCAGAAGACAUUGUGACAUAUCGCUGGGCCUAGCACCAAGGUGAUGUGAAUCUUCUGCCUGGACCUGCUCACAGAGGGAAUUGUUACAUAUUUUUGACUUCAUCAACUAUUUGAUGUGACUCUCCUCUCUAACCUGGGCCUUGCCCAUAAAAAACAUUGUGGCUUAUCUCUGGGCCCAAAACCUAGGUGAUGUGACUGUCUUCUUAGGGUCAUGCCCACAGUAGAGAGAUGCCUUAUUGCUAAACCCAGCACACAGGUGAGGUGAUUCUUCUGUCUGGUCCCUGCCCACAGGGGUCAUGAUGACAUCUCUCUAAGCCCAUCACCUAGAUUAUGUGAGUUCUCUUUUUCUUCUGUUAGCUAUAUAGAAGAUUGUGACAUAUUGCUUGGCCCAGACCUCAUGUGAUGUGAAUCUCCUCUCAUGCCUUGGUCCUGUUUUUUUUUGGCCGUUGUUGUUUUGUUUUGUUUUUUGAGAUGGAGUCUUGCUCUGUUGCCUAAGCUGGA
rnacentral:lncRNA from 1 species